UCAAGCAGCUGAGUCAAAUUCAUAUCUUCAAAAUUGUAACCCACAGCUUCAAAACUCGCAUAACUGAAACCAUCUUCUGGAGUGAUGUGAAUUGUAGAGAUUGCAUCCCCUUCAAUGGCAUUCAUGGAGUAACCACAUGGGUCAAAAUCAAAAUCACAGAUAUCAGAUUGUGGGAGGAUCUUCCUAAUACCAGAUUCCUCAGUCAUCACAGCAGCUGAACUGGAUUGUGUUUUGUAGAAAACAGAUGCUCGGUCCCUGUCCAAGCCAGU
rnacentral:misc_RNA from 1 species